rnacentral:rRNA from 1 species
UACGGGGGGGGCAAGCGUUGUUCGGAAUUACUGGGCGUAAAGGGCUCGUAGGUGGCCAACUAAGUCGGACGUGAAAUCCCUCAGCUUAACUGGGGAACUGCGUCCGAUACUGGAUGGCUUGAGUUUGGGAGAGGGAUGCGGAAUUCCAGGUGUAGCGGUGAAAUGCGUAGAUAUCUGGAGGAACACCGGUGGCGAAGGCGGCAUCCUGGACCAACACUGAUACUGAGGAGCGAAAGCCAGGGGAGCAAACGGG